CCUACGGGAGGCAGCAGUGAGGAAUAUUGGUCAAUGGGCGAGAGCCUGAACCAGCCAAGUCGCGUGAGGGAAGACGGUCCUAUGGAUUGUAAACUUCUUUUGUCGGGGAGCAAAAAGGCCUCGUUAUGCUACUAGUGAGAGUACCUGACGAAAAAGCAUCGACUAACUCCGUGCCAGCAGCCGCGGUAAUACGGAGGUUGCGAGCGUUAUCCGGAUUUAUUGGGUUUAAAGGGUGCGUAGGCGGAGUGUAAAGUCAGCGGGAAAAUUUGGAGGCUCAACCUCUUUGCGCAGUUGAAACUGUCGGUCUUGAGUGGGCGAGAGGUAUGCGGAAUGCGUGGUGUAGCGGUGAAAUGCAUAGAUAUCACGCAGAACUCCGAUUGCGAAGGCAGCAUACCGGCGCCCAACUGACGCUGAGGCACGAAAGCGUGGGUAUCGAACAGGAUUAGAUACCCGGGUAGUC
rnacentral:rRNA from 1 species